rnacentral:rRNA from 1 species
GCAGAACGCGAAGAACCUUACCUGGGCUUGACAUCUACGGAACCUGCGUGAAAGCGUGGGGUGCCUUCGGGAGCCGUAAGACAGGUGGUGCACGGUUGUCGUCAGCUCGUGUCGUGAGAUGUUGGGUUAAGUCCCGUAACGAGCGCAACCCUUGUCCUUAGUUACCAGCACCUCGGGUGGGAACUCUAAGGAGACUGCCGGUGACAAACCGGAGGAAGGUGGGGAUGACGUCAAGUCAUCAUGGCCCUUACGGCCUGGGCUACACACGUGCUACAAUGGUCGGUACAGAGGGUUGCCAAGCCGCGAGGUGGAGCUAAUCUCACAAAACCGAUCGUAGUCCGGAUCGCAGUCUGCAACUCGACUACAUGAAGUUGGAAUCGCUAGUAAUCGCAAAUCAGCAUGUUGCGGUGAAUACGUUCCCGGGUCUUGUACACACCG